GAUGAACGCUGGCGGCGUGCUUAACACAUGCGAGUCGAACGAUGACGCACAGAUUGCUGGGUGGAUUAGUGGCGAACGGGCGAGUAACACGUGAGUAACCUGCCCUCUACUCUGGCAUAAGCCUGGGCAACUGGGUCUAAUAGCGGAUAGGAGAGUCCACCGAAUGGUGGGUGUUGGAGAGCUUUAGCGGUUUUGGAUGGACGGGCGGCCUAUUAGCUUGUUGGUGGGGUCAUGGCUCACCCAGGCGACGACGGGUAGCCGGCCUGAGAGGGGGACCGGCCACACGGGGACUGAGGGACGGCCCAGACGCCUACGGGGGGCAGCAGGGGGGAGUAUGGCACAAUGGGCGAGAGCCGGAUGCAGCGACGCCGCGGGAGGGAUGACGGCCUUCUGGGUGUAAACCUCUUUCAGUAGGGAAGAAGCGAAAGUGACGGUACCUGCAGAAGAAGCACCGGCUAACUACGUG
rnacentral:rRNA from 1 species